rnacentral:rRNA from 1 species
GACGAACGCUGGCGGCGUGCUUAACACAUGCAAGUCGAACAGAAAGGCCCUGCUUUUGUGGGGUGCUCGAGUGGCGAACGGGUGAGUAACACGUGAGUAACCUGCCCUUGACUUUGGGAUAACUUCAGGAAACUGGGGCUAAUACCGGAUAGGAGCUCCUGCUGCAUGGUGGGGGUUGGAAAGUUUCGGCGGUUGGGGAUGGACUCGCGGCUUAUCAGCUUGUUGGUGGGGUAGUGGCUUACCAAGGCUUUGACGGGUAGCCGGCCUGAUAGGGUGACCGGCGAGAUUUGGGCGGAGAUACGGCACAGACUCCUACGGGAGGCAGCAGUGGGGAAUAUUGCACAAUGGGCGGAAACCUUGUGCAGCAUCACCGCGUGAGAGAUGACAGCCUUCGGGUUGUGAACCGCUUUCGCCUGUGACAAAGCGUGAGUGACAGUAAGUGGUAAAGAAGCACCGGCUAACUACGUG